GUUGUGUGGAUGACUUUCAGCACCAGGGACAGGUGUGUUUACCUGUGUAUGGAUGGCGUUCAGCACCAGGGACAUGCAUAUUCACCA
rnacentral:pre_miRNA from 1 species